AUGCCUAAAAUGACUGGGUUUUCCUCUGUGUGAAUUUCAGGGAAGCCGAGGACCUGAUGGCCUCAAGGGAAUCCCAGGAUUACGAGGAACCAGGGGCCGCACGGGGCAGCGUGGGCUGGCUGGAGUCCCUGGCCUGCCAGGCUUGCGAGGUGCUCCAGGAGCAGAAGGCCCAGAAGGAAAGCCUGGUACACAGGUUCCCAUUCUAUACUACAUACUUAAAUGUCGGUGCGUUGUACAAGGGUCGGGAUUGCAGGUGAAAGUUGCUUGUUAUGUUGGCUGCCCUGUAAUGCAGUGUGACCACGGUGCUGGCUUUGGAGAGAUGGAUCCAAGCCAGGCUUGGAUGCUCCUCCAUGCCAUGGGGGCUUCCAAACCUGGGCCAUGGCCAUUCAGGUCAAGGCCAGCUCCAUAUGACUUCAAGAACACAAUCUGCCUGGGAUGAGAUGGACUAUUUCUCUCCACUGAUUUUAAGGGGUGG
rnacentral:lncRNA from 1 species